rnacentral:rRNA from 1 species
UACGAAGGGGGCUAGCGUUGUUCGGAUUUACUGGGCGUAAGGCGCACGUAGGCGGAUUGUUAAGUCAGGGGUGAAAUCCUGGAGCUCAACUCCAGAACUGCCUUUGAUACUGGCAAUCUAGAGUCCGGAAGAGGUGAGUGGAACUCCUAGUGUAGAGGUGGAAUUCGUAGAUAUUAGGAAGAACACCAGUGGCGAAGGCGGCUCACUGGUCCGGUACUGACGCUGAGGUGCGAAAGCGUGGGGAGCAAACAGG